rnacentral:rRNA from 1 species
UACCAGCUCUCCGAGUGGUAGGGAUGAUUAUUGGGCUUAAAGCGUCCGUAGCCGGCUUAGCAAGUCUCCUGUUAAAUUCAGCGACCUAAUCGUUGAGCCGCGGGAGAUACUACUAGGCUAGGAGGCGGGAGAGGUCGACGGUACUUCCGGGGUAGGGGUGAAAUCCUAUAAUCCCGGGAUGACCACCAGUGGCGAAGGCUGUUGACUAGAACGCGCUCGACGGUGAGGGACGAAAGCUGGGGGAGCGAACCGGAUUAGAUACCCGGGUAGUCCCAGCUGUAAACGAUGCGAGCUAGGUGUUGGGGUGGCUACGUGCCACUUCAGUGCCGCAGGGAAGCCAUUAAGCUCGCCGCCUGGGGAGUACGGCCGCAAGGCUGAAACUCAAAGGAAUUGGGCGGGGAGCACCACAAGGCGUGAAGCUUGCGGUUC